UACGUAGGGGGCAAGCGUUGUCCGGAUUUAUUGGGCGUAAAGAGCGUGUAGGCGGCCAGGUAGGUCAGCUGUGAAAACUCGAGGCUCAACCUCGAGACGUCGGUUGAAACCACCUGGCUAGAGUCCGGAAGAGGAGAGUGGAAUUCCUGGUGUAGCGGUGAAAUGCGCAGAUAUCAGGAAGAACACCCGUGGCGAAGGCGGCUCUCUGGGACGGUACUGACGCUGAGGAGCGAAAGCGUGGGGAGCGAACGGG
rnacentral:rRNA from 1 species